rnacentral:rRNA from 1 species
UACGGAGGGUGCGAGCGUUGUCCGGAAUCACUGGGCGUAAAGGGCGCGUAGGCGGCUUCUCAAGCGUGUGGUGAAAGUCCGGGGCUCAACCCCGGAUCGGCCGUGGCGGACUGGGGAGCUCGAGUUCUGUAGAGGCGGGUGGAAUUCCGGGUGUAGCGGUGGAAUGCGUAGAGAUCCGGAAGAACACCGGUGGCGAAGGCGGCCCGCUGGGCAGAGACUGACGCUGAGGCGCGGACAGCGUGGGGAGCAAACGAGG